GGUGCAAAAUAUUUUGGAAGGAAUUGUAUUACUGUACAAGUUUAUUUCUCAGUUAAUUUCCAGAUUUGUCCCUGUCUGUUCUAUGAGAUUUGAUGUAUCUGUCUGUAUUAUGUCUGUGCGUUAUCAUGUUCUUCUUGUAUGUAUUUACAGGUCUGCCAAUUCGGGUCAGAACCCACUUGUGAAUCUGAUCUGGUGUGUUCAGGUGUCCUGAGAAUGGGGGGCGCUGUUUCUAAAAUGAGUUCCUCAGAGGAGACCGAGACUGACGAUGGAACCCACGGCCCUGCGAGAGAGAGGCUCCAGGUAGAUUGGGCUGGGUCACCUGUACCCAGCUGUCUGUCUAUGAAGAGUGACUGUUCAAUUGAUUUUCCAAUCGACUUCAGAGGAGAGUUCAGAGGUGAUCAAAGGAUUCACUGCUCACUGGAUUUAUGUCAUUCAGAUGAGAUGAGUUCAGAGAAUCUGUUCUCCACAAAACAGGUAUGAUCUAUUAUUUUCUUAUUUCAAUAUUUGAAGUUAAUAUGACUUUCAGACGAUCAGAUUGAAUAUCUCAUCAGGUUUAUUAAAGUUGUAGAGUGCUGCGGCCCUCUUUGGCUCACAGAUAGACCGGAUUCCUUUUUAGGAUCCAUAAACGAUGGUAGUGGAUGACUCCAAACAGAAUGUUUUAAAGUUCAAAGGCUUUAUUUGUCACAUGCAUAUACAUGUACAUACAGUGAAAUGCUUGUGCGACAAACUCCUUGUAGACUGUGCCACAUAACGCUUCAAUAAUAAUUAUAUACAGAAAAAAAUAAAUAACU